CCUACGGGUGGCUGCAGUGGGGCAUAUUGGACAAUGGGCGAAAGCCUGAUCCAGCCAUGCCGCGUGUGUGAAGAAGGCCUUCGGGUUGUAAAGCACUUUCAGUGGGGAAGAAAGCCUUGGGGCUAAUACCCUCGAGGAAGGACAUCACCCACAGAAGAAGCACCGGCUAACUCCGUGCCAGCAGCCGCGGUAAUACGGAGGGUGCGAGCGUUAAUCGGAAUUACUGGGCGUAAAGCGCGCGUAGGCGGUCUGAUAAGCCGGUUGUGAAAGCCCCGGGCUCAACCUGGGAACGGCAUCCGGAACUGUCAGGCUAGAGUGCAGGAGAGGAAGGUAGAAUUCCCGGUGUAGCGGUGAAAUGCGUAGAGAUCGGGAGGAAUACCAGUGGCGAAGGCGGCCUUCUGGACUGACACUGACGCUGAGGUGCGAAAGCGUGGGUAGCAAACAGGAUUAGAUACCCUGGUAGUC
rnacentral:rRNA from 1 species